rnacentral:rRNA from 1 species
ACGGGUGAGUAACACGUGGGAACGUACCCUUUUCUACGGAAUAACCCAGGGAAACUUGGACUAAUACCGUAUGUGCCCUUCGGGGGAAAGAUUUAUCGGAAAAGGAUCGGCCCGCGUUGGAUUAGCUAGUUGGUGGGGUAAAGGCCUACCAAGGCGACGAUCCAUAGCUGGUCUGAGAGGAUGAUCAGCCACAUUGGGACUGAGACACGGCCCAGACUCCUACGGGAGGCAGCAGUGGGGAAUAUUGGACAAUGGGCGCAAGCCUGAUCCAGCCAUGCCGCGUGAGUGAUGAAGGCCUUAGGGUUGUAAAGCUCUUUCACCGGAGAAGAUAAUGACGGUAUCCGGAGAAGAAGCCCCGGCUAACUUCGUGCCAGCAGCCGCGGUAAUACGAAGGGGGCUAGCGUUGUUCGGAUUUACUGGGCGUAAAGCGCACGUAGGCGGAUCGAUCAGUCAGGGGUGAAAUCCCAGAGCUCAACUCUGGAACUGCCUUUGAUACUGUCGAUCUGGAGUAUGGAAGAGGUGAGUGGAAUUCCGAGUGUAGAGGUGAAAUUCGUAGA